GGCCUGUAGCUUUGAUCAUGAAUAUUACAAUUACAAUUUUAGUCAUUUAUUCCUAAUGUCCUAGGUGGUAACGACAGAGUGGUUAAGACACGGUUUAGGUUAAGAUAAGAGAAAGUUGGUAAAAUAAUAAUUAAGUCAGUGAUGGGACUCGAGAUGGGAUGCAAACCCUGGAUAAUGGUGUUGACGCCAGAUGUUCAAAUGUCCGGCCACAAAAGCUUUAAUUAGGAACAAUUUGAAACUAAACGACGAAAGAGAGACCUUGUUUCUGGCGAGAGAAAUUGCUGGGGAGUUUUUCAUUGUAAUUUCGGGAUGCUUUCUUUGAGCACUAGGAAACUACAUUCCCUUUACCUGCAGCACAGUAUAUUGAGGUGGCAGUAGAAGCUUUAGUAGUGGAUUAAAGUCCUUGAAAACUUGGCUUCUCAUUAACAAUAAGUAUUCACGAGUUAAUAAGCAACAAGGUGAAGAAACUCGUCAGGGCUGUGUAGGUGUGGUUCGAUCAGAUUUGAUUGACAGUGACCAAGCAACCGACCAACUGGCAUCAGAUUCUAAUGCUAAAUCAUGAUUGGUGCACGGAGGUACGUGACGUCACAUUUCCCGCACCUUAGCCCCGCCUACUGCAAAUCAGUGAGAAGAGCACAGGGGAAGAAAACAAAACCCAAAUCCUGAAAUCUCUCACGUGAACGAACCAAAACGGCUAUAACUUUGGCAGAAAACAGUGUGCUCGUGGAGGACCCACCAUUCACACUGGACUUGGUUCUGAUUGGCUCUCCUCAUCAUCACGUGACCCCUCUCAGCAGGUGUACUUCAUUUGAACCCUGAUGAAGACCCACUAAGGUCAAAACUAGUCUUUGUUCAUUUGAAUUAGAGGAGCUGCUGCUAUCAGCUAAUCAGGGUCCAGUGUUUGAAUGCUCUGCUGCCUGAUCCUCAUUCGUGCCAUUUUAACUAUACUUGCACUAAACAUGAUCAUUUAAAAAGUCAUGACAACAAGAAGCUUGAACACAAACUCUCCACACAUAAAGGUUGAGAAGUUCAGCAAACUUCAACAGUCAAUAAACCAGGUGUCAGAAUGGAAAAGCGCAUUUAUUUGAUGAACAAGUGCUUGGUGUGAUCAUGAAAAGUGUCUCACACGAGCUUUCCGUUUCCAUUGUUCAGAAUAAUCGAGUUACUACCAAGGCAAACAUGAGCAUACAGUUCCUUGUUUUGAGAAGUACCACACAAAGACAUACAGUGCGACCUUUAAUCAAUAGAGAAUAAGAUCAACAGGAGUCACACUACAGAGGAGAAAUAAUACAGAGGGUGGGUAUAGAAAAACUAUUAUUUGGAGACAAAUACACCACAUUUUCUUUACAAUGGAUUAUAUGUACAUAUUCAAAAAAAUUUGAGCAAAACUAAUGUUUUUUUUUUGAGAAAGCGUAUACCAGUGAAAUAUGAUCUGCCCUUGAUAAUUCUCAAAAGUUAAUGUCUGCAUAUGUUUUAUACAAAAUAGAUUUUCAAACAAUAUUUGGGUAGUGCAAAUCUUUUUAGAUUCAAGCUGGUUGAUUACUUUCACAAACAGGUCGUGUGUGAAAAAGACUGACUCUUAUCCUAUUCACAGUAUUACACAAUUUGAAAAAAAGUGUUUAAAAAACCAAACAACGAAACCAAAACAAACGAACUGUACAUUUGUCUUGUAGGAGCUACUUAGUUUACACUGACAUACGUUGAAUUUGUCUGUACUUGCUUUGGUCACCUUGUAGUCAAACAAAAAAAUAGGCUUUUUUUGUGCAGUCUUGGUAGACUAUUACUGACUAAGUGUAUCUUUUCCUGAAAAUCUGGCCUGCAGAGAUAAAGUUAAAUGUGAAUCUCCUGUAUGCAAAUAGCUUAUACUGGAACGGAAAAAAAAAAAAAGGAACCACAUCUUAUGUGAUGGUGAUAGAUUAUCUGUCGUUUCUAUUGCAUAUUCAGUUGUCCUCAAAAAUGUACAAGAACGUAAGCUAGGAUACAUUUUUGAGCAAGAGGCAAGUGUGCAAUUUUAUAUAUAUUAUAUAUAAUAUAUAUAUAUGUGUGUGUGUAUACCUAUACCUGUUUAAAUGAACAGCAGCAGCAGCAGCAGCAGCGAUUUGGAUACACUGAAUGUGAAAGUAACCCAUGAGUAACCACUAUGCAGUUAAUGAAGGUGGUUUUAAACUAUUCUGAAUAAACCUCAGAAAGAAAAAUAAAGUAUCCUUUUUCUGAGCCUGGUUAUGAAUGACGACCGUGGCAGCACAUUCCUGAAACUUUCCUAAUCUGUCAAGUGAACUUUUUUUCCUAACAAAAAACUAAACACCAUAAAUCACAGAAGCAGACACAUUUUGGGAAUCCAAACUUAAUGCUUUUGGUUCUUCAAGUCAGGACACAAACGACUAAACAUGGACCACAUACUGUGUGAAUCAGACAUCAAAUUUGAACAACCUGAGCACGGUUCAAGAUGUAUAAUUAGUGCUUUUAUAUUUGUUGGGAUAGUUUAGCAACAGACCAACAGCAGAACAAUUUGACAUUUUCCAUAUUAAAUGCACCUGUGAGGCCUUUGUAGUCGCUUGACAUAUUUCUCCAGUUAUUUUAAACUGGCAGGACAUCACCUCGUCAGGAGCAUUUCUUUUAAACUAAAUUAAUUCCUCUUUAAGUUUCACAUUCAUGUCAAAAACCUGGAUUAUUUUGUGCUUUAAACACAAACAUGUCAGGGUCAUGAAACACACUGAUGAACAAACUAAGCACAUGAAAAUGUUGCAGCACAUUUCAAAUUCCCACUUACACACAACACAGAUAAAGGGACACUGACAGACCUACAUUAUUCUGUGUGAUCAAACACACAACACUUUUGUGAGUGUUGCAAAUACAGCUCAGUUAUCACCCAAUGAUCUCAAUCCAGUGGACUGAAGCGCAGACAAUUCAGGACCUUUUUUAAAAUCUAUUUGUAUACAUUUAUACGCUUAAAUACUGAGACUUGUUUCCUCUUCUGAUACAAACACUGACCCGCUUUCAGCAUCACUGAAAACAGACAAAAUGGGAGUUUGGCACUGAAAUAGUUCCCAGAGAAUAAAGGAUUGAUUUUUCCUGCCUCCCCAGUCAGUGACGCUGCACUUUCACUGUGACUCUGAGUCGACAGUGCUUUCAAACAUUGGGGCUUGACCACCUAACAGACAAACAAACAUGCAAAUGUACUAAAGCCACAUAGGCCCGGUUUACACCUGGGAUUAACAUGCAUCUUGAGUGACCCGAUCACAAAUGGACAGCUCCAAGUAUGGCAGUUCACACCUGGCAUUAUAAUGCGUCUUGAGUGACCACUGACCGUAUCGCACUUCCGCGCUCUACAUCAUUUCCGUUUGCAAAAACCAAAUGCGUUGUUGUUUUUAACCUGAAUUUGAUGAAUUUACUGUUUAUCAGACCACAAAUGAGACAAGAAUUAGGUUGGAAAAAUGAUAAGACGCCGCCAGAGCGGAGUGUUUGAGGGCCGGGCCUCACUGAUUACUGUACAAAAACACAAUUUUAUUCACAGAUUUUGGUGCAACUGGAUCAUAUUUUCUGGUUUUCCCUCUGAGGAGCAGAAGGGUUAAACAGAAGGGGUCAAAGGUUUUCAGCAGCUGUGGGAGGUUUAAAGGGUGAUGAAUCUGCCAAUGCCUGAUCCAAAGUGCUGUAUACACAAGCUGUCUAUCAUACAAACCGUUCAUUUUAAAAGGAAUACUUUGCCAUUUUGAGAAAUCCUCUUCUUUACUUUCUUGUUGAGUUAGAUGAGAAAACUGAUGCCACUCUCACGUCUGUACGCUAAAUAUGAGGCUACAACCAGAAGCCAGUUAGCUUAGCGUUAAGGGACCAGUAACUUCCUGGAGUCUCCGCUGGUUGCCUGGCAACUGGUCCUGGCUACGAAAUAGUCAGACACAUGAUCCCCGUAAAACACAGAAUUGUUGUUCUAAAGUUUUUGUGUUCAUUAAACAAACAAGAUAUGUGUAUUGCUGAGCUGCAGAGGUGAUAGUAAGCAGGUUGUGUUACCUUUAGCAUGAGCCAGGCUAGCUUUUUACCCCCAGUUUCCAGUCUUUAUGCUAAGCUAAGCUAACUGGCUACUGACUCCAGCUACAUAUUUAGCAUACAGACAUGCGAGUGGUAUCAAUCUUCUUCAUCUAACUCUCGGCAAGAAAGCAUGUUUCCCAAAAUAUUAAACUAUUCCUUUAACAAAUACAGCAAAGCAAAAAUGCAAAGGCUUUCAAUAAUUAAUCAUGCAAAUUAGAUGCUAAUUGAGAGCAUGGAUUUACUGUCAAAGAAGGAUCAUCAGUGGCAGAAUCAUGACUGCCUGUUUGUCGGUUUUACAAAACAGACUAAAAAUAAAUUAAGGGCUAUUAUCUUCCAACCAGUUUGAGCCAUGUUAGAACUUACAAAUUAGUUUUCCUGAUUAAUUAAAAAUGACAAUCUUGCAAACACAAUAAAAUAUGCCCCAUCUUCUCUGAUUGGUAGACGCAGGUAUCUAUCACAUUCCAUUAUUAGACUAUUGGGGCAGGAGUGGGGGCUAAAAUAAACAUUGGACUAUUUCCUAACAGAAAAGGUUAACUUCCAUCUAAAGUCCUAUAUUAAAGACUGGCACAGCAUAACAGUCUUUCUUCAGUCUUUUAAAGCCUUUAGCAGGGUACAAAGUACUCGAAUCGCACUUGGAGGAGUUGAGUGUGCGGGCUUUGAAUAUUCUUUCGUAAUGAUAAGGAUCAUUUCUACACACGGAGAAUGGACUCAGCUGCCACUUCUAAAGCCAUUGAAAAAAAAGGAAGACUUGCAACUGCAUGUAACAUAAAAAGUACAAUCAACGUAUGAUGAAGGUAGACCACGAUGGGUUAAAGAGAAGCAUGCCUUGGACAGGUCGGAAGAAAUGGCUAAGAUGAUAUUUGAAGCUAAAAAGGCACAUAUUUUUUUCCCUUUUAUAACAGAUGUGUGUAAACCUGGAAGAGGUCGGCUUGUGGGAGAAAUCAUCCUUUGAAUGGUGCACGUCGAUCAACAAUC